rnacentral:rRNA from 1 species
GAUACCCUAUUAUUUUAGAUGUUAUUAUUUUUCUAUAAUUAUUAUUAGUUAAGUUCUUUAAAAUUAAACAAUUUGGCGGUAUCUUAGUCUAUUCAGAGGAACCUGUUUUUUAAUCGAUAGUCCACGAUAAUUUUUACUUUAAUUUUAAAUUUAUAUAUCGUCGUUAUUAAGAAUUUUAGGAGGAUUGAAAUUUUUAGGAUUCUUUAUUAGGAAUAAAUUCAGAUCAAGGUGUAGUUUAUAUUAAAGCUAAAAUGGGUUACAUUUCAUUUAUGAGUGGUUCUUUUUUAAAAAUUUUUUGAUAAAAUGGAUUUGAUGGUAAAUUUUUUAAUUAUGGAAAUUGAUUUAGCUCUAAGAUAUGCACAUAUCGCC